rnacentral:rRNA from 1 species
UUGAUCCUGCGGGAGAUUGCUGCUAUUGGGAUCCGACUUAGCCAUGCAAGUCUGGGGCUCUUCGGAGCACCGGCAGAAUGCUUAGUAACACGUCGAUAAUCUGCCCUUUGGUCAGGGAUAACCUCGGAAAACUGAGGCUAAUACCUGAUAGAGGAUUGGUUCUGGAAUGAUCUUUCCUUGAAACUCGUGCCAAGGGAUGAGUCGGCGGCUGAUUAGGCUGUUGGUGGGGUAACGGCCCACCAAACCGAAGAUCAGUAGGGGCCUUGAGAGAGGUAGCCCCAAGAAGGACACUGAGAUACUGGUCCUAGCCCUACGGGGUGCAGCAGGCGCGGAACCUCUACAAUGCACGCAAGUGUGAUAGGGGGAUCCCAAGUGCUUAUGCUAUGCAUAGGCUUUUGCUAAGUGUAAAUAACUUGGCGAAUAAGUGGUGGGAAAGACUGGUGCCAGCAGCCGCGGUAACACCAGCGCCACGAGUGGCAAUCAUGUUUAUUGGGCCUAAAGCGUCCGUAGCUGGUUUGAUAAAUCCUUUGUGAAAUUGUUGUGCCUAACAUAAAUGGCAGGGGACACUAUCGAACUUGGAACCGGUGAGGGGUCAGAGGUAUGCUUGGGGGAGCGGUAAAAUGCUGUAAUCCCUAGUAGACCACCUGUGGCGAAGGCGUCUGACUAGAACGGGUUCGACAGUGAGGGACGAAAGCCAGGGGAGCGAUCCGGAUUAGAUACCCGAGUAGUCCUGGCCGUAAACGCUGCGAGCUAGGUGUUGCGUAUUCUACGCGAAUGCGCAGUGUCGAAGCGAAGGUGUUAAGCUCGCCGCCUGGGAAGUACGGUCGCAAGACUGAAACUUAAAGGAAUUGGCGGGGGAGCACCACAAGGGGUGCGGCGUGCGGUUUAAUCUAACUCAACGCAGAAAAUCUCACCAGGGGCGACGGUAGGAUGAAGGUCAGUCUGAAGGGCUUACUUAACGAGCCGAGAGGUAGUGCAUGGCCGUCGUCAGCUCGUGCCGUGAGGUGUCCUGUUAAGUCAGGCAACGAGCGAGACCUGUACCUACAAUUGCUAACAAACUCUCCGGAGUGAUUGAGCACAUUGUGGGAACUGCCCGUGAAAACGGGAGGAAGGUGCAGGCUACGGUAGGUCUGUAUGCUCCGAAUCCCCUGGGCUACACGCGCGCAACAAUGGUAGAGACAAUGGGAUACGACUCCGAAAGGAGAAGUCAAACCUUUAAACUCUAUCCAAGUCCAGAUUGAAGGCUGUAACCCGCCUUCAUGACGAUGGAAUCCCUAGUAAUCAGAAGUCACUAUCUUCUGGUGAAUAUGUCCCUGCUCUUUGCACACACCGCCCGUCAAACCACUCGAGCAGAGUUUGGAUGAGCGUUAAUUAUCAUGAUUAACUCGAAUCUAAGCUCAGUGAGAUGGGUUAAGUCGUCACAAGGUA